GGUGUGGCUCAGCUUGGCUAGAGCGCCUGCUUUGGGAGCAGGAGGUCGCAGGUUCGAAUCCUGUCACC
rnacentral:tRNA from 1 species